AAGACAAAUCUACACUUCAAGCUUCUCUAAUUUCUCCAUAGUUAAAAAUUAGUACAAAUUAGGUACUAAGCUCCAAGAUCCUAAAACUAAGGAUAAGAGGGUUAUAGAAUGAUGGAUCCCUAAAAAAUGAGCAUUUUGAACUUUUAAAAGAGAAUUUAGGGUCCGCUAUGUUCUUUUACAACUUUGCCUUUGGUUGAAAACCUCAUUAUCCUGCGAUCGUGUGUGAAUCUGCCACGAUUGCUGAAUUUUUCAAGUGAUCGCAACCUGUUGAUUUCUUGACUUACCAUGAUCAUGGUGUCCAAUCUGCGAUCAUGGUACAUGAGGCCCAGUUUUCAAAUGCUUUUAAACUUUUGAACUUCUGUUCCCACUUUGAUCCUUUUCAGCUCAUUUUGCAUUUUCUUGUCUCAAUAUUUGUAUAACUAUAAAAUAGGAGAAUUAGUGUAUUUAAC
rnacentral:lncRNA from 1 species